rnacentral:ncRNA from 2 species
ACAUUUGCGGCAAGAAUGAGUGUGGGCGAAGAGUCGCCCUCGGAACACGGUGAGAAUCCGUGACAGUACCCGCUGCUGUAAUUCCCGCACAAGGGUUUCUUAUCAUUUCAGCCACUGACCGCAAGGUUGGGAAGGCGCUAAGAAACCGGGAUAAGUCAGAAGACCCACUUUUUUCUUAUACCAGAU